rnacentral:tRNA from 1 species
ACAGUUUGUGCAGACUCUGCUGGUAAAGCAUUUGCCUUGCAAGCAUAAGACCUGGGUUUGAUCCCUAGAACCUGUA